rnacentral:rRNA from 1 species
UAGGGAAUCUUCCACAAUGGGCGAAAGCCUGAUGGAGCAACGCCGCGUGUGUGAUGAAGGGUUUCGGCUCGUAAAACACUGUUGUAAGAGAAGAAUGACAUUGAGAGUAACUGUUCAAUGUGUGACGGUAUCUUACCAGAAAGGAACGGCUAAAUGCGCGCCAG